rnacentral:rRNA from 1 species
UACGGAGGGGACUAGCGUUGUUCGGAAUUACUGGGCGUAAAGCGCACGUAGGCGGAUUUGUAAGUCAGGGGUGAAAUCCCGAGGCUCAACCUCGGAACUGCCUUUGAUACUGCAAAUCUCGAGUCCGGAAGAGGUGAGUGGAAUUCCUAGUGUAGAGGUGAAAUUCGUAGAUAUUAGGAAGAACACCAGUGGCGAAGGCGGCUCACUGGCCCGGUACUGACGCUGAGGUGCGAAAGCGUGGGGAGCGAACAGG